UGGGGAAUAUUGGUCAAUGGGGGCAACCCUGAACCAGCCAAGUCGCGUGAAGGAUGAAGGUCUUAUGGAUUGUAAACUUCUUUUACACGGGAAUAAAGCGGGGGACGUGUCCCUCUUUGCAUGUACCGUGUGAAUAAGGAUCGGCUAACUCCGUGCCAGCAGCCGCGGUAAUACGGAGGAUCCGAGCGUUAUCCGGAUUUAUUGGGUUUAAAGGGUGCGCAGGCGGGAUGUUAAGUCGGCGGUGAAAUUUUGCAGCUCAACUGUAAAAGUGCCUUCGAUACUGGCCUCCUUGAGUGUGGAUGAAGUAGGCGGAAUUUGUGGUGUAGCGGUGAAAUGCUUAGAUAUCACGAGGAACUCCGAUUGCGCAGGCAGCUUACUAAGCCACAACUGACGCUCAUGCGCGAAGGCGUGGGGAUCAAACA
rnacentral:rRNA from 1 species